rnacentral:tRNA from 1 species
GGGGCGUUGGACAAGCGGCUAAGUUACAGCCCUUUCACGGCUGCGAGAUGGGUUCGAUUCCCAUACGCCCUA